CGGGCGCUGGGGCGGCGCUGGGCCGCCUUCUGCGCGGUGGUCCGGCCGGAGGAUCAUCCGGCGCGCCCGGCC
rnacentral:tRNA from 1 species